rnacentral:lncRNA from 1 species
AAAUUUGGCGUUAGUGCGAGUUCGUGCACUGGCAAUUAAUGCCAAUAAUGGCCAGGCAGAGCAAAAAAUGCGAGUGACAAGUAAUAAUAAUUAAUUUGACACACAACUUGUUCAUGGAUAGAAACAGAUGCCUGCGUGCAUUGCAAAAACAUCUCCAAUAAAAACCCUUUCUGAAGAAACUCCCCUACAGUCUUCACAUUGAAAUAAAAAAAAUAUAUACAUAGCUAGUCCCCUUCCCCUCUAAGUCCAGAUACAUGUUAUCAUGACGUUCUUUUGUGCUACAUGUAUAUUAUUUUUUACUUUUCUUGAUCCUCAGAGACGUUGCAGGUGGGCAAACAUGAAAAAAGAAUAAAAAGCCUUCCAGGACGUUAUAAUUAUUUGAACUAAGCCACCUCUUUUUUUGCUACAUGAAGAAAAAAAUCACCUAAUUACAACAGCAGAACCAGAGACCCCGUGACAAGGAGAGACAUAAGCUGUUAUACUCCGGAACUAGUUCUUUAAUAAAGACAAUUCAGGAUAAAUUGGAACCAGUUGCUAACCCAUGUUACAACAAUAGUCCUAUGACAUAGGACUUCACUGUAUGAGGCGUGAACUUCAUAUUUAAUACUAUCUAUAAUAUGUGCUCUCAUGUAUUAUGCCGCAAAUCAUUUUACAUUUAGGAUUCGUUGCUGAGCUUUUUUUACUGUUCUCAUCUCCGAAUCCCUUAAAUAGACUUUUUUCAAGCCCCACAGUAGUUCAAUAAUUACUAUAUGUCAUUGCUUAAAUAAGUAUGCAGAGCAUAUUUCAAAACAUAUUUUAUCUUCAGGACUUUUAAAUGAUUUACUUUUCAAUACUGCAUUGGGAAAGGAAGGGGGUAUACAAGUUUAUUUUGUGAUACAGUAUAUAAUAUAAUUAUAGGUAUCCAACAAAUUAUAUGAUUGUACGUUUAGCUAUUAUCUAGACCCGUACAAAAUGUAUAUAUUAAGACACACAUAACAGGGGCGGAUAAAAAACCUCGGUGUCUUAGGGGGGAAGGGGAGGUUCAAAUUUAGAUAUUUGUAUAGAGAUGUAUAUAUGCGAGUAUUGGCAGCAAUGGUUAUGGUGUGUGUGUGUGUGUGUGUGUGUGUGUGUGUGUAGGGAGGGUUUCAGAUCAAAGAUCGUUUCUAUAAUUCUAUAUCUUUUAGUUUUUACCAUUUCACUCUAUUCUUUAUCCUUUGAUCUCUAUUAUAUUUGUCCUAAACAUGCGUGACAUAUUUGCCACUGGACAUAAGGCAACCAAAAAUCAAUCAACUUAUUCUGUAUAUUUCAUCAUUUCUUUAUUAUGUUAUCUAUAGGUUUGGUCCCGCCCCUUAUCUAUUUUUUUGUUUAUAUAUUUGAUAAUGCCAUUUUUUUUUGGAAAAAAGGUAGGGGCAAGGCGUUUUUUUAAAACAUAUUAAUGGGUCGCGUUUUUUUUUUUUUUUUUUGUUUGUUCUUCGGAAGUGAGCCAGAAGAAGUUUUUUUUUUUUCUUUUUUUUUUUUUUUUUGCAUUUGGAAGAUCUUCUGGCUCUCUUUUACCUCUUCUUUUUUGAUAGGUUAUUAAGACGGUAGAGGCACAUAACAAACAUGGCGUCGUUUAGUCUAAAUGAAAUUAUUAAUUUAUGAAUGCAGAUAUAUAAGAAUGUGAGCUGUUUAUAAACGUUUUUUAUGGUAUGACAGUAGGACGAUAAGCUGGAUAAAUAUAAGAACUACACGGACAAUAACUGUUUUAAAGGGACAAUUAUUUGAUAUUCUAGGGAAGGGUUUUUGAUUGAUUAGUGUUUAACGCUACUGUCAACACUAUUGGGCUAUUCCGUGGUGGUCAGUUUAAAUUUAUAAAUGAAGGAUGGGGAAGGGAAGGGAGAGCAUUAUUACUCAUUUCAAUCUGUCUCUAAUCAUGCAUAUUUUUCAGCUCUUACCAGGCAACCAUAUUCAUAUAUGAAAUCCUUCUGUCCCCACCCGAACAAAUAAAUAAAUAUAAAAUGGCUCUUAUUUAACACAAGUUUAAAUUGAUUGAUUGUAUGUUGCUAAUUUUAACACCCAGUGACAAAUAUUUCAUGCUUGUUCAUGAAAACACGAGUUUAGAAGUCAGGUAUAUAAUAUAAAAACGAAGAGAUGGAAUGUGAUUGCAAAUAAGGCAACUAUCCACCGGAGUUCAAAAUGGAUGUAAGCAAUUAUAGACAAUCGUAAGGCCUUCAACAAUGACAAAAACCUGAUACUGUAAAGUCGUCUAUAAAAGGCCCGACAUGAAAAUGUAAACAAUUCAAACGAAAAAACUAACAGCCUAAUUAUACAUAACAAAACAAUUUACAAAAUAUCAAAUAUGAGUCGAGACAUGAACCAACGACAACCACUAAACAACAGGCUCCUGACCUUGGACAGGUAAAUAAAGAAUAUGGCAGGGUUGAUAUAGAAACGAAGAUGUGGUAUGAUUGCAAAUGAGACAACUCUCCACAAGAGACCAAAUGACACAGAAAUCAACAGCUAUAAGUCACCGUACGGCCUUCGACAAUAAGCUAAGCAUACAUCGCAUAGUCAGCUAUAAAAGGCACCGAAAUCACAAAUGUAAAACAAUUCAAUCGAGAAAACUAGCGACCGAAUUAAUGUACAAAAAAAAUGAACGAACACAAAUAUGUAUAACACAGCAACAAACGGCAACCACUGAAUUACAGGCUCCUGACUUGGGACAAGCACAUACAUACAGAAUGUGGCGGGGUUAAACAUGCAUGUUAGCGGGAUCCCAAAUCCUCCCCCUAAUCUGGGACAGCGGUGUAACAGUACAACAACAUGUUUGUGAGCACUCAAUCCAUCCCGAAUAUGGGACAGUGGUAUAACAGUACAGUAAUUUAACAACCUGUAAAAUCAGUUGCAAUUAGAUUAACUCAAAAGAUCGGAACGAGACACACACAAAAAACUAAUUUUAAGACAAUAGACACAAAGCACC